rnacentral:rRNA from 1 species
GGAGCAGUGAGGAAUAUUGGUCAAUGGGCGAGAGCCUGAACCAGCCAAGUCGCGUGAAGGAAGAAGGAUUAUGGUUCGUAAACUUCUUUUGCAGGGGAAUAAGUGCAGGACGUGUCCUGUUUUGUAUGUACCCUGAGAAUAAGGAUCGGCUAACUCCGUGCCAGCAGCCGCGGUAAUACGGAGGAUCCGAGCGUUAUCCGGAUUUAUUGGGUUUAAAGGGUGCGUAGGUGGUUUGAUAAGUCAGCGGUGAAAGUUUGCAGCUUAACUGUAAAAAUGCCGUUGAAACUGUCGGACUUGAGUGUAAAUGAGGUAGGCGGAAUGCGUGGUGUAGCGGUGAAAUGCAUAGAUAUCACGCAGAACUCCGAUUGCGAAGGCAGCUUACUAAGCUACAACUGACACUGAAGCACGAAAGCGUGGGGAUCAAACAGGAUUAGAUACCCUGGUAGUCCACGCAGUAAACGAUGAUUACUAGCUGUUUGCGAUACAAGUAAGCGGCACAGCGAAAGCGUUAAGUAAUCCACCUGGGGAGUACGCCGGCAACGGUGAAACUCAAGAA